AUUGAACGCUGGCGGCAUGCCUUACACAUGCAAGUCGAACGGCAGCACGGGUGCUUGCACCUGGUGGCGAGUGGCGAGCGGGUGAGUAAUAUAUCGGAACGUACCUUAUUGUGGGGGAUAACGCAGCGAAAGCUGUGCUAAUACCGCAUAAUCCCUAAGGGGGAAAGCGGGGGACCGUAAGGCCUCGCGCAAUUAGAGCGGCCGAUACCUGAUUAGCUAGUUGGUGAGGUGAAGGCUCACCAAGGCAACGAUCAGUAGCUGGUCUGAGAGGACGAUCAGCCACACUGGGACUGAGACACGGCCCAGACUCCUACGGGGGGCAGCAGUGGGGAAUUUUGGACAAUGGGGGCAACCCUGAUCCAGCAAUGCCGCGUGAGUGAAGAAGGCCUUCGGGUUGUAAAGCCCUUUUGUCAGGGAAGAAACAGCAGCUCUAACACAGUUUGCGAAUGACGGUACCUGAAGAAUAAGCACCGGCUAACUACGUGCCAGCAGCCGCAGUAA
rnacentral:rRNA from 1 species